GAUAAGAACGUAGCGAAAUGCGAUAAGUAAUGUGAAUUGCAGAAUUCAGUGAAUCAUCGAAUCUUUGAACGCACAUUGCGCCCGCCAGUAUUCUGGCGGGCAUGCCUGUUCGAGCGUCAUUUCAACCAUCAAGCCCCCGGCUUGUGUUGGGGACCUGCGGCUGCCGCAGGCCCUGAAAACCAGUGGCGGGCUCGCUGUCACACCGAGCGUAGUAGAUUUUCAUCUCGCUCAGGGCGUGCUGCGGGUUCCGGCCGUAAAAAGCCUUAUUUACCCAAGGUUGACCUCGGAUCAGGUAGGAAGACCCGCUGAACUUAAGCAUAUCAAUAAGCGGAGGA
rnacentral:misc_RNA from 1 species